GGAAAAGAAACUAACAAGGAUUCCCCUAGUAACGGCGAGUGAAGAGGGAAGAGCUCAAAUUUGAAAGCUGGUACCUUCGGUAUCCGCGUUGUAACCUCGAGACACGUUUUCCGUGCGGCGCUAUGGACAAGUUCCUUGGAACAGGACAUCGUAGAGGGUGAAAAUCCCGUACUUGCCAUGGAUGUACCGUGCUUUGCGAUACGUGCUCUAAGAGUCGAGUUGUUUGGGAUUGCAGCUCAAAAUGGGUGGUAGACUCCAUCUAAAGCUAAAUAUCGGGGAGAGACCGAUAGCGAACAAGUACCGUGAGGGAAAGAUGAAAAGCACUUUGGAAAGAGAGUUAAAAGUACGUGAAAUUGUCGAAAGGGAAGCGCUUGAAGUCAGCCAUGCCGCUCAGGACUCAGCCUGGCUUUUGCUUGGUGUAUUUCCUGGGUAGCAAGUCAGCAUUGGUUUGGAUCGUCGGAGAAGCAUAGUCGGAAUGUGGCGCCCUCGGGCGUGUUAUAGCCUUCUAUUGGAUACGACGAUCUAGACCAAGGAACGCAGCGCGCCUUAUGGCGGGUCUUCGGACACCUUCGCGCUUAGGAUGCUGGCGUAAUGGCUUUAAGUGGCC
rnacentral:rRNA from 1 species